rnacentral:rRNA from 1 species
UUCGCCCUUAGAGUUUGAUCCUGGCUCAGGACGAACGCUGGCGGCGCGCCUAACACAUGCAAGUCGAACGAGCGAGAGAGAGCUUGCUUUCUCGAGCGAGUGGCGAACGGGUGAGUAACGCGUGAGGAACCUGCCUCAAAGAGGGGGACAACAGUUGGAAACGACUGCUAAUACCGCAUAAGCCCACGACCUGGCAUCGGGUAGAGGGAAAAGGAGCAAUCCGCUUUGAGAUGGCCUCGCGUCCGAUUAGCUAGUUGGUGAGGUAACGGCCCACCAAGGCGACGAUCGGUAGCCGGACUGAGAGGUUGAACGGCCACAUUGGGACUGAGACACGGCCCAGACUCCUACGGGAGGCAGCAGUGGGGAAUAUUGCACAAUGGGGGAAACCCUGAUGCAGCGACGCCGCGUGGAGGAAGAAGGUCUUCGGAUUGUAAACUCCUGUUGUUGAGGAAGAUAAUGACGGUACUCAACAAGGAAGUGACGGCUAACUACGUGCCAGCAGCCGCGGUAAAACGUAGGUCACAAGCGUUGUCCGGAAUUACUGGGUGUAAAGGGAGCGCAGGCGGGAAGACAAGUUGGAAGUGAAAUCCAUGGGCUCAACCCAUGAACUGCUUUCAAAACUGUUUUUCUUGAGUAGUGCAGAGGUAGGCGGAAUUCCCGGUGUAGCGGUGGAAUGCGUAGAUAUUAGGAGGAACACCAGUGGCGAAGGCGGCUUACUGAACGAUAACUGACGCUGAGGCUCGAAAGCGUGGGGAGCAAACAGGAUUAGAUACCCUGGUAGUCCACACUGUAAACGAUGAAUACUAGGUGUGCGGGGACUGACCCCCUGCGUGCCGCAGUUAACACAAUAAGUAUUCCACCUGGGGAGUACGAUCGCAAGGUUGAAACUCAAAGGAAUUGACGGGGGCCCGCACAAGCGGUGGAUUAUGUGGUUUAAUUCGAAGCAACGCGAAGAACCUUACCAGGGUUUGACAUCCUGCUAACGAAGUAGAGAUACAUUAGGUGCCCUUCGGGGAAAGCAGAGACAGGUGGUGCAUGGUUGUCGUCAGCUCGUGUCGUGAGAUGUUGGGUUAAGUCCCGCAACGAGCGCAACCCUUAUCCUCAGUAGCCAGCACUUCGGGUGGGCACUCUGUGGAGACUGCCAGGGACAACCUGGAGGAAGGUGGGGAUGACGUCAAAUCAUCAUGCCCCUUAUGGCCUGGGCUACACACGUGCUACAAUGGCGUAAACAAAGGGAAGCAGAGUCGUGAGGCCGAGCAAAUCCCAAAAAUAACGUCUCAGUUCGGAUUGUAGUCUGCAACUCGACUACAUGAAGCUGGAAUCGCUAGUAAUCGCGAAUCAGAAUGUCGCGGUGAAUACGUUCCCGGGUCUUGUACUCACCGCCCGUCA